rnacentral:lncRNA from 1 species
AAUGAGAUGCUACGUCAACUUUGGACAUACUCACAUACAAAGGGGGAUUAAAGGGAAGGGGGAUCACAUGAAAGGAAACAUUGAGGAGAGAUAAGAAUAACAUAACAAUAGUAGCAUGCAGAAAGGUAUAACAGACCAGUGUACAGUCAUUUAGUACCAGAAAACAUGUAGUUGAGGGGUCAUGUAGAAGGGAGAAAUAAACACAUAGUUUUAGUGAACAAUAUUUAAAUUGUGGAGACCUACCAGUUUCAAUUUGCAUACAUCAG